rnacentral:lncRNA from 1 species
ACAAGAUUGGUAAAGGCUGAAUGACUUCACCAGGUGGACCCUGUAAAGAAGAUAAUAUACACCCAAAGAGGGAAGAUAAUGUGAAGAGACACAGGGGAAAGACAGCCACCACAAGCCAAGAAGAGAAGUGCAGAACAGACCCUUCCGCCAUGGACCUCAGAAGGAACCAACACUGCUGACACCUUGUUCUAGGACUUCUAGCCUCCAACACUGGGAGACAAUACAUUUUUGUGGUUUGAGCCACCGACUCUGUGGUACUUUGCUAUGGUAGCCCUAGCAAACUAGUAUACAUAUAGUUGGAAAGAUUUUAGCUCAAGAAAGAAGAAUAACAUUUCUUUCACAUGGACCUAUAUUUUAAUUCUACCAUUUAAUUAGUUAUGUGAAGCCUAGAACAUUUUAGUAUUAAUAAAGUGGUAGCUAUUACUAUUGUUUUUAUUAGUAUCUUUAUAAUGCACUAGGAAAAAAUGUGAAGCAUCUGAAUUUUUGUCAUUAUUCCUAGAGUCAAGUAAAAAUGUAUCUUUACGGCAUAAAAUAAGUUGGUUUCAUUAACGUGACAAAAUAGUAUAUGAUUCUCUUGAAAAAAUAAUAAAAACAAGACUAUAAUAUACAAUUAAGGCAUUUAUAUUUGAAGAGUGAAAUCAAUUAAAAUUUAAGUCUUGGCAUGUAGAUUUGAUUACUUAAAUGAUAUAAUGUUUCCUAUAAAAUCAGCACUUUUGGCAGAAUGUGCUUUUUGUCUAUCUUAUAAGUUCAGAGAAAUCAUUGGCAGCUUCCAGAUGCAAACUGUCAGAACAUCACUCUUGUUAACAUAUACUUACUGGAGACCCAGGAGGCCCUGGAAGACCACUGUCAC